rnacentral:lncRNA from 1 species
AUUCUCUUUCUCACCUUUCUGGUAACUUUUAGGUAUGUAUCUAUAUUGGCCAGGGCAGACUAGGUCAUGCUGUGGAAACAAAACACUCUAAAAUCUCGACGGCUUAACACAACAGCAAACAUUUUUUUCUUGCUCAAGAAAAAACCUACCUACUGCAGAUCCAGCUGACCCUCCUAUCCUUCAUGCAGCAACUCCACAAUCCAGGCUGCUUUGACCUUAUGGUGCCAUCACCUAAAUAUGAGGCAUUCCGCAAGAUCACUUCAGCUGCAAUGAGCUGCUUCAGCCCAGGAGUGACACGUGCCCCUUACAGUCACAGCCUGUUGGCCAGGACAGCUAUCCAGCCUCACUUGGCUGCCAGAGGAGAGAAAUGUGAUCCUUCCAUGUGCCCAGGAGAGGAGCACAGAUACGCGGAUAUGGGUCACCCUUAAGAACCAGCUGUCCCAGCUAGCCAUUGUGGCCCAAGCUCCCCAAGACAUGGCCCACUGGAGGUAAGUCCCAGGAGACCUUCCGGCUUUUGAAAAAUCCAGAGCUCACUUCACGAAAGACCCACAGGUGUACCUGGACACUUUGAUCUCAAUGCUCCAAUAUAAAGAGCCUGACGUAUAUACCCUUGGGCUGCCUGCUACUUACCUUUGGCCCAUCAGGUAGAAGGCAGACUUGGCAGGGAGUCUUUCUGCAUGUGACCUACUGAUAUUUGAUCUUUUCAUGGCUGAUUACUGGGAAAUGGGGGAAGAAGUUCUGCAGAAUUAGCUUAUCUCUGGGGAGACUGUCAGGUAUGAUUGUGAUAUGCACUCUCUUUUUUUUUUUUUCCUGCAAUCACAUCAGAGAGUGAAAUAGCAUGGUCUUUUAAGGCACACAUGCAGAAGUGCAGCCGAUUCAUUUCCAUUCUGUCUGUCCAGCACAUCCUCCAGGAAUUCUCCCAUGACUCCAAUCCCUAUAGAUGGCUCCUUUCUAUAGAUGUCUCCUAGAUGUCUGUAGGAUAGUCCUAUAGAUAUCUCCUAGAUGUCUGUAGGAUAGUCCUAUAGAUGUCUCCUAGAGCAGGCUUUGGCAAACUAUUGUCCACAUGCCAAACUUGGCCAAGCAUCUGUUUUUCUAAAUAAAGUUUUAUUGAAAUACACCCAUGUUUAUUGUUGUCUAUGACUGCUUUUGUGCUAU